GACAGAGGGUGCAAACGUUGUUCGGAAUUACUGGGCGUAAAGCGUGUGUAGGCGGUUAGGAAAGUCGGAUGUGAAAGCCCCGGGCUCAACCCGGGAAGUGCACUCGAUACUGCCUGACUUGAGUAUCGGAGAGGUUGGUGGAAUUCUCGGUGUAGAGGUGAAAUUCGUAGAUAUCGAGAGGAACACCGGCGGCGAAGGCGGCCAACUGGACGAAUACUGACGCUGAGACACGAAAGCGUGGGGAGCAAACAGG
rnacentral:rRNA from 1 species